rnacentral:rRNA from 1 species
UGGGGAAUAUUGCACAAUGGGCGCAAGCCUGAUGCAGCCAUGCCGCGUGUGUGAAGAAGGCCUUCGGGUUGUAAAGCACUUUCAGCGAGGAGGAAGGUGGUGAACUUAAUACGUUCAUCAAUUGACGUUACUCGCAGAAGAAGCACCGGCUAACUCCGUGCCAGCAGCCGCGGUAAUACGGAGGGUGCAAGCGUUAAUCGGAAUUACUGGGCGUAAAGCACACGCAGGCGGUUUGUUAAGUCAGAUGUGAAAUCCCCGGGCUCAACCUGGGAACUGCAUUUGAAACUGGCAAGCUAGAGUCUCGUAGAGGGGGGUAGAAUUCCAGGUGUAGCGGUGAAAUGCGUAGAGAUCUGGAGGAAUACCGGUGGCGAAGGCGGCCCCCCUGGACGAAGACUGACGCUCAGGUGCGAAAAGCGUGGGGAGCAAAACAGGAUUAGAUACCCUGGUAGUCCACGCUGUAAAACGAUGUCGAUUUGGAGGUUGUGCCCUUGAGGCGUGGCUUCCGGAGCUAACGCGUUAAAUCGACCGCCUGGGGAGUACGGCCGCAAGGUUAAAACUCAAAGGAAUUGACGGGGUC